AUUCUGCCCAUGCGGGGAAGGAUGAGAAGCUUCGACCAAGGUUCGACUCGAGCGCCAGCGAGAGAGCGUUGCCGCAGGCAACGACCCGA
rnacentral:sRNA from 1 species